ACAUGCCAGACAAUAAAGUUUAAUUAAAUCACAGAAAAAAAAAAUUACAAAAACAUCGAAGGUUCGUGUAUUCCUAUUAAAACAACAACAAAAGCAGUAAAGAAACUACUAUAGCAGUAAGAGGUACAACCUAACUGAAAUACCAAUUGUAUGCUUUUGAACGUAAACAAUUGACUCUAGAACUCCCGAGUCAUGCCACAAUCGCUGACGCAUUGCUUCAGCAAAGGGCCAUCUUCCCUCAAGCGCAUCUCUCGCACGCUUCGUAUGUUAUUGUUUAAAAGUAGAUCAGCAACUGGUACGAGUCAGCCAUAAUCCUACUGCCUCACUUCACUUAAGACCUGUGACCAACACAGCGGUCAAACGUGCAGCAUGCGUUAAGGGAUUAAUUUUAGCCGGCUGCAUGCUAAUUUUCCACGAAAAAUUUCCAAAGAAAACAUAAGAAACAGCUGUUUUCAUGCCAAAUAUGCGA